rnacentral:rRNA from 1 species
GACGAACGCUGGCGGCGGGCUUAACACAUGCAAGUCGAACGGAAAGGCCCUGCGUUUGUGGGGUUCUGGAGGGGCGAACGGGGGAGUAACACGUGAGUAACCUGCUCUUCACUUUGGGAUAACUUCAGGAAACUGGGGCUAAUACCAUAUAGCAGCUCCUGCUGCAGUGAGGGGGUUGGAAAUUUUCGGCGGGUGGGGAUGGAUGCGCGGCUUAUGAGCUUGCUGGUUGGCGAGCGGCUGGCCAAGGCUUUGACGGGUCGCCCGCCUGGGAGGGUGAACGGCCACAUGGGGACUGAGAGAGGGCGCAGUCGCGUACGGGAGGCAGUAGUGGGGAAUCUUGCCCAGUGGGCGGAAGCCGGAUGAGGAAGCGCCGCGUGCGGGAUGACGGCCUUUGGGUUGUAAACAGCAUCAGCCUGAGACGCAGCGUGAGUGACGGUACUGAGUAAAGAAGCACCGGCUAACUACGUG